rnacentral:rRNA from 1 species
GGGCCCGCACAAGCGGUGGAGCAUGUGGUUUAAUUCGAUGCAACGCGCAGAACCUUACCAGCCCUUGACAUGGGAAGUAUGGGUCCGAGAGAUCGGACUCUUCAGUUCGGCUGGCUUCCACACAGGUGCUGCAUGGCUGUCGUCAGCUCGUGUCGUGAGAUGUUGGGUUAAGUCCCGCAACGAGCGCAACCCUCACCUUCAGUUGCCAUCAGGUUAAGCUGGGCACUCUGAAGGAACUGCCGGUGACAAGCCGGAGGAAGGCGGGGAUGACGUCAAGUCCUCAUGGCCCUUACGGGCUGGGCUACACACGUGCUACAAUGGUGGUGACAGUGGGAUGCAACGCAGCAAUGCCGAGCCGAUCUCAAAAAGCCAUCUCAGUUCAGAUUGCACUCUGCAACUCGAGUGCAUGAAGGUGGAAUCGCUAGUAAUCGUGGAUCAGCAUGCCACGGUGAAUACGUUCCCGGGCCUU